GCUGUAGUAGCUCAGUUGGUUAGAGUGUCACGUUGUGGCCGUGAAGGUCCCGGGUUCGACUCUCGGUUACAGCA
rfam:Anncaliia algerae PRA109 cont4.2911, whole genome shotgun sequence.